ACCUAGAUGGACUGUUCUUCACUGAGUGAUUGUACUUUUUUGUACAUAUACAUGCAGCAUUGCAAAACUGGAAUUGUCAUCUGUGAAGCAAGCAAGCCAAAAAGGAUUAUUGCAGUGGACUGCUCUGCAGAGGACCUCCAUGCUGUGCCCAAAGUACUGUUAAGGUUUCCUAAUGCUCUGAGAGGUUGUGAAGUGUAUUUAUCUCGAAUGCCUUGCAACUAUUGUGCAAAAUUGCUGGUUCAAGCACAAGUCUCACAAGUGUACUACUGGCCUAAUUUUGAAUAUAACCUGACAGACAAGACCUUGAAGGAUGAUCUGGUAAAGCAUACUAAUGCCAUCUUUUCGGAAAGCUGUGUCAUUGCAGCAGUCUUUGUACCAGCAAUAAAUAAUCAAAGAAAGCAGCGAAUACUUGUUUCAAAUAAAAGAGCAUCUUCUGAUGGUGAUUGCAUUGCGAUUCAAUCUAUAUUUGAUAAGAAAUAUGACACGAAUAUAAAACAGCUUCUUAAAUUAGAACACCUGACAGACAACCAACUGGAAAAGUAUAAGGAAAAUCUUACUACCGCAAAGGAUUGUUUUAAAACUCUGGCAGGUACCAAAGAUGAAAAAAUAACAAUAUUAGAAAAGGAGGAACCUAAAGAUGAAAUGAAUACUCCCAAAUAUACCCAUGCGUUACAGCUCUGUGAUUUAUUGGCAUCCAGAAGUGGUAAGUAAAUUAAUAUUACUAAAUUUAUCUCAGUAACUUGCACAGUGUAGAAAAAUCCUACAUAACCGUUAAAUGUAUUCCUGAAGAUGUAAUGUAUUAAAAACACCUUUAAUUGAUUACCUUGAAUUCUAUUAGCUAAUUCAUGAAACUCUGCAUGUUUAGCCAAUUUUAGUAGCACAAUGGUAUUUCCCAUUUUAUAAAAUUAAUUCAUGUUGCAUUGUUAUAUUUUACAAACCAUAUUCACGUCAUCUGAAGAAGACAGUUAGUGUAAACUGUGCAAAAAUAACCCUAAGAAAAAAUGGAGUGUAUUAUUGGUACCAAAUCAAGAUUUCUUUGCUGAAGGGGGAGUUGGCCCAGUGAGAUCUCCAGGGAUGAUUAAGAUCCAAAGAAAUGCGGUGCAGAAGUCUUUAGUGAACAAGAGUUUGGGCUCAUACUUUCAUUAUAGCUAGCCAAAUGGAGGAAAAGCACACACGUUCCUCCUGUCUUUCCCACUGGUGGGAGAUUUCUAACUGCUUCGGCUAAUUGCAAGAGUCUUUAGUUUCUGUGGGAGCCAGUUUCUCCCACAUCUGCC
rnacentral:lncRNA from 1 species